rnacentral:rRNA from 1 species
GACAGAGGGUGCAAACGUUGUUCGGAAUUACUGGGCAUAAAGAGCACGUAGGUGGUCUGCUAAGUCACGUGUGAAAUCCCCCGGCUCAACCGGGGAAUUGCGCGUGAUACUGGCAGGCUCGAGGUGGGUAGGGGUGAGCGGAACUCCAGGUGGAGCGGUGAAAUGCGUAGAUAUCUGGAGGAACACCGGUGGCGAAAGCGGCUCACUGGACCCAAUCUGACACUGAGGUGCGAAAGCUAGGGUAGCAAACGGG